rnacentral:rRNA from 1 species
CCUACGGGAGGCAGCAGUGGGGAAUUUUGGAUAAUGGGCGAAAGCCUGAUCCAGCAAUGCCGCGUGAGUGAAGAAGGCCUUCGGGUUGUAAAGCUCUUUUGUCAGGGAAGAAACGGUGAGGGCUAAUAUCCUUUGCUAAUGACGGUACCUGAAGAAUAAGCACCGGCUAACUACGUGCCAGCAGCCGCGGUAAUACGUAGGGUGCAAGCGUUAAUCGGAAUUACUGGGCGUAAAGCGUGCGCAGGCGGUUUUGUAAGUCUGAUGUGAAAUCCCCGGGCUCAACCUGGGAAUUGCAUUGGAGACUGCAAGGCUAGAAUCUGGCAGAGGGGGGUAGAAUUCCACGUGUAGCAGUGAAAUGCGUAGAUAUGUGGAGGAACACCGAUGGCGAAGGCAGCCCCCUGGGUCAAGAUUGACGCUCAUGCACGAAAGCGUGGGGAGCAAACAGGAUUAGAUACCCUGGUAGUCCACGCCCUAAACGAUGUCUACUAGUUGUCGGGUCUUAAUUGACUUGGUAACGCAGCUAACGCGUGAAGUAGACCGCCUGGGGAGUACGGUCGCGAAGAUUAAAACUCAAAGGAUUGACGGCUGAGAGAGCGACGACGACGACGAGGGAGGAGG